rnacentral:rRNA from 1 species
UGGCGAACGGGUGAGUAACGCGUGAGGAACCUGCCUCAAAGAGGGGGACAACAGUUGGAAACGACUGCUAAUACCGCAUAAGCCCACGACCCGGCAUCGGGAAGAGGGAAAAGGAGCAAUCCGCUUUGAGAUGGCCUCGCGUCCGAUUAGCUGGUUGGUGAGGUAACGGCCCACCAAGGCGACGAUCGGUAGCCGGACUGAGAGGUUGAACGGCCACAUUGGGACUGAGACACGGCCCAG